AUUGAACGCUGGCGGCAGGCCUAACACAUGCAAGUCGAGCGGAUGAAGGGAGCUUGCUCCUGGAUUCAGCGGCGGACGGGUGAGUAAUGCCUAGGAAUCUGCCUGGUAGUGGGGGAUAACGUCCGGAAACGGGCGCUAAUACCGCAUACGUCCUGAGGGAGAAAGUGGGGGAUCUUCGGACCUCACGCUAUCAGAUGAGCCUAGGUCGGAUUAGCUAGUUGGUGGGGUAAAGGCCUACCAAGGCGACGAUCCGUAACUGGUCUGAGAGGAUGAUCAGUCACACUGGAAUUGAGACACGGUCCAGACUCCUACGGGAGGCAGCAGUGGGGAAUAUUGGACAAUGGGGGAAAGCCUGAUCCAGCAAUGCGGCGUGGGUGAAGAAGGUCUUCGGAUUGUAAAGCACUUUAAGUUGGGAGGAAGGGCAGUAAGUUAAUACCUUGCUGUUUUGACGUUACCAACAGAAUAAGCACCGGCUAACUUCGUG
rnacentral:rRNA from 1 species